rfam:Schistosoma mattheei strain Denwood, Zambia genome assembly, scaffold: SMTD_scaffold0001253
AUCCAGCUGACGAGUCCCAAAUAGGACGAAACGUGGGUUAUUGAU